GAUGAACGCUGGCGGCGUGCCUAAUACAUGCAAGUCGAGCGAACAGACGAGGAGCUUGCUCCUCUGACGUUAGCGGCGGACGGGUGAGUAACACGUGGAUAACCUACCUAUAAGACUGGGAUAACUUCGGGAAACCGGAGCUAAUACCGGAUAAUAUAUUGAACCGCAUGGUUCAAUAGUGAAAGACGGUUUUGCUGUCACUUAUAGAUGGAUCCGCGCCGCAUUAGCUAGUUGGUAAGGUAACGGCUUACCAAGGCAACGAUGCGUAGCCGACCUGAGAGGGUGAUCGGCCACACUGGAACUGAGACACGGUCCAGACUCCUACGGGAGGCAGCAGUAGGGAAUCUUCCGCAAUGGGCGAAAGCCUGACGGAGCAACGCCGCGUGAGUGAUGAAGGUCUUCGGAUCGUAAAACUCUGUUAUUAGGGAAGAACAAAUGUGUAAGUAACUAUGCACGUCUUGACGGUACCUAAUCAGAAGGCCACGGCUAACUACGUG
rnacentral:rRNA from 1 species